rnacentral:tRNA from 1 species
UUAAUUAAAGCCAAAUUGGAGGCAUCUUAUUGUUAAUGAGAAUAUUGAAUUUAUUUCUAAUUAAA